CUAUCAACAGGGCUGAAAAACAGUAGCUGGUGUCAAUAAUAAGCCAUGAACACACAAACCAGGUUACGCUGCGGAAAAAGCGUUCUGGAUCUCAAUGGCUUACGAGGUUGUCUCCACAUAUUUACAUGCUAUGUCCAUCGCGAGUGAGCUAUGGCUCUGCUUCACGGCGUCCUGCCUUGGGAUUCGGGCUGACAGAGAAGCUUCUAUCUGGAACACUGGAGCAGAGGGAAAAGAGAGCUUGGCAAAGCCCAAACUGGCUCUUAGAGCUGGACGUGACACACAUUACUUGUCACCUUCCAUUGGCCAAAUCAGGUCGCAUGGCCAAGCCCAACAUGAUUAGGAAGAGAAACUCUUACUCUCCCCUAAGCAGACGCAAUUCGGACACACCUCUGACAGUGCUGGUCUUCCGGGUUGAGAAUCCCAGUAUCUUCUGGGCGUCUGCACCAGCCAGAAGGAACUGGGUGAGUUUUCCUUUUAAACUAGGCAUUCCAAAAAUGAUACCUUUUGUGUUCAAAUAAAUAUAUUUAUUUAUACAUAAAUAUCGUGGGGAAAAGAAUUUCAAGCCACAUGUGAUUCCCGUCCCUUUUCUUCCCAGCCACAAUUAUUUUUCUGAUUAUCAUCACAUAUUUCUCACACUAUCUUCAUGUGAGAAAUUUAAAAUUCUCCUUGGAGCCUUCCAUCUUCAUGAAUUUCUUACAAUGACCUAUGGAGGUGAUGCAGGGCAUUAAUAAUAUAGAAUUCCAAAUAAUGUCCAGUGACCUGGUGUAAUUCCACCACACCAGAGAGGAGAUAGGUCCCCACCAAGGAUUCACAUUUGCUGUUUGUUUCCACAGUUCUCAGGACUUGAGUCAGGUGCCCCAUCAGCUGGUCUUGCUGUAGGACGAGUCUCCCCUGGAAGGAAAUGGCAUCUAUUCUCCUCCUUUUCCAGACAUUUCAUUUCCAUUGAAAUGCUCAUAUUUUGCACAUGUCUGCAAAGAAAACACUUCUACUAUGGUUAUAAGUCAAGGUGUUUGGGUUUUAUUUUCUCUCCUUCACUUCCCAUUAAAAAGUAUCAAGAAUGAGGGUCGCUGGAGGGGAGGGGUGUAGGGGACGGGGGUAAUUGGGUGAUAGGCAUUAAGGAGGAUGGAAUGAUGGAUGGAACGAGCACUGGAUCUUAUGUAAGACUGAUGAAUCACUGAGCUCUACCUCUGAAACCAAUAAUACAUUCGUGUUAAUUGACUUUAAGUAAAAAAUAAAAUAAAAUUUAAAAAGUAUCA
rnacentral:lncRNA from 1 species